GUAGGGAAUAUUGGGCAAUGGUCGGAAGACUGACCCAGCCAUGCCGCGUGCAGGAAGACGGCCCUCUGGGUUGUAAACUGCUUUUAUCUGGGAAGAAAAAGGCCAUGCGUGGCAAAUUGCCGGUACCAGAUGAAUAAGCACCGGCUAACUCCGUGCCAGCAGCCGCGGUAAUACGGAGGGUGUGAGCGUUGUCCGGAUUUAUUGGGUUUAAAGGGUGCGUAGGCGGCUGAUUAAGUCAGCGGUGAAAGACUUCGGCUUAACCGGAGCAGUGCCGUUGAUACUGGUUGGCUUGAGUGUCGGAGGGGUACAUGGAAUUGAUGGUGUAGCGGUGAAAUGCAUAGAUACCAUCAGGAACACUGAUAGCGAAGGCAUUGUACUGGCCGACAACUGACGCUGAUGCACGAAAGUGUGGGGAUCGAACAGGAUUAGAAACCCGGGUAGUCC
rnacentral:rRNA from 1 species